UACGGAGGGUGCGAGCGUUAAUCGGAAUUACUGGGCGUAAAGCGCACGCAGGCGGUCUGUCAAGUCGGAUGUGAAAUCCCCGGGCUCAACCUGGGAACUGCAUUUGAAACUGGCAAGCUAGAGUCUCGUAGAGGGGGGUAGAAUUCCACGUGUAGCGGUGAAAUGCGUAGAGAUCUGGAGGAAUACCGGUGGCGAAGGCGGCCCCCUGGACGUAUACUGACGCUCAUGUGCGAAAGCGUGGGGAGCAAACAGG
rnacentral:rRNA from 1 species